AUGAUGGACUAUAGGACAGGACUGCUGCUUUUUACUGUCUGCUGGGCAGGUGUUAAAGCUCAGACUCUGACAGAGUCUGAAGCAGUGGUUAAAAGGCCUGGAGAAUCCCACAGACUGACCUGUUCAGCGUCUGGAUUCACAUUCAGCAGCUAUGAUAUGAACUGGGUCAGACAGGCUCCUAGAAAUGGACUGGAGUGGAUCGCCUGGGUUGAGAAUGAUAAUGACAAAAAAUACUACUCUCAGUCAGUUAAAAGCCGGUUCACCAUCUCCAGAGACAACAGCAGACAGCAGGUGUAUCUGCAGAUGAACAGUCUGAAGACUGAAGACACUGCAGUGUAUUACUGUUGGAGCUGUGUGUUUUUCUGCUUCGUGUUCUUCUGA